CGGGGUGUAGCGCAGUCCGGUUAGCGCAUCUGUUUUGGGAACAGAGGGUCCCAGGUUCGAAUCCUGGUACCCCGA
rnacentral:tRNA from 2 species